rnacentral:rRNA from 1 species
GAUGAACGCUGGCGGCGUGCUUAACACAUGCAAGUCGAACGAGAAAUGAAGAUGGAAACCUUCGGGCGGAAGCCUUCAUUUCGAGUGGCGGACGGGUGAGUAACGCGUGGGUAACCUGCCUCAUACAGGGGGAUAACAGUUAGAAACGACUGUUAAUACCGCAUAAGACCACAGCACCGCAUGGUGCGGGGGUAAAAACUCCGGUGGUAUGAGAUGGACCCGCGUUCGAUUAGCCAGUUGGCGGGGUAACGGCCCACCAAAGCGACGAUCGAUAGCCGAUCUGAGAGGAUGACCGGCCACAUUGGGACUGAGACACGGCCCAAACUCCUACGGGAGGCAGCAGUGGGGAAUAUUGCACAAUGGGGGAAACCCUGAUGCAGCGACGCCGCGUGAGUGAAGAAGUACUUCGGUAUGUAAAGCUCUAUCAGCAGGGAAGAAAAUGACGGUACCUGAGUAAGAAGCC